rnacentral:rRNA from 1 species
GCAACGAUCUCUAGCUGUUCUGAGAGGAAGAUCAGCCACACUGGAACUGAGACACGSUCCAGACUCCUACGGGAGGCAGCAGUGGGKAAUAUUGCACAAUGGGGGAAACCCUGAUGCAGCCAUGCCGCGUGUGUGAAGAAGGCCUUCGGGUUGUAAAGCACUUUCAGUUGUGAGGAAAAGUUAGUAGUUAAUACCUGCUAACCGUGACGUUAACAACAGAAGAAGCACCGGCUAACUCCGUGCCAGCAGCCGCGGUAAUACGGAGGSUGCGAGCGUUAAUCGGAAUUACUGGGCGUAAAGCGCACGCAGGCGGUUUGUUAAGCUAGAUGUGAAAGCCCCGGGCUCAACCUGGGAUGGUCAUUUAGAACUGGCAGACUAGAGUCUUGGAGARGGGAGUGGAAUUCCAGGUGUAGCGGUGAAAUGCGUAGAUAUCUGGAGGAACAUCAGUGGCGAAGGCGACUCCCUGGCCAAAGACUGACGCUCAUGUGCGAAAGUGUGGGUAGCSAACAGGAUUAGAUACCCUGGUAGUCCACACCGUAAACGCUGUCUACUAGCUGUUUGUGACUUUAASUCGUGAGUAGCGAAGCUAACGCGCUAAGUAGACCGCCUGGGGAGUACGGCCGCAAGGUUAAAACUCAAAUGAAUUGACGGGGGCCCGCACAAGCGGUGGAGCAUGUGGUUUAAUUCGAUGCAACGCGAAGAACCUUACCUACACUUGACAUGCASAGAACUUUCUAGAGAUAGAUUGGUGCCUUCGGGAACUCUGACASAGGUGCUGCRUGGCUGUCGUCWSCUCGUGUCGUGAGAUGUUGGGUUAAGUCCCGCAACGAGCGCAACCCUUGUCCUUAGUUGCCASCAUUAAGUUGGGCACUCUAAGGAGACUGCCGGUGACAAACCGGAGGAAGGUGGGGACRACRUCAAGUCAUCAUGGCCCUUACGUGUAGGGCUACACACGUGCUACAAUGGCAUUUACAGAGGGAAGCGAGACAGUGAUGUGGAGCGGACCCCUUAAAGAAUGUCGUAGUCCGGAUUGGAGUCUGCAACUCGACUCCAUGAAGUCGGAAUCGCUAGUAAUCGCAGGUCAGAAUACUGCGGUGAAUACGUUCCCGGGCCUUGUACACACCGCCCGUCACACCAUGGGAGUGGGAUGAAAAAGAAGUAGUUAGUCUAACCUUCKGGAGGACGAUUACCACUUUGUGUUUCAUGACUGGGGUGAAGUCGUAACAAGGUAACCGUAA